AGUCGAGGGGCAGCGGUGGUGAAGGCUUGCCUUUACCAGCCGGCGACCGGCGCACGGGUGAGUAACACGUAUGCAACCUGCCUGCCACAGCCGGAUAAUCGGGAGAAAUCCCGUCUAAUACGGCAUAAUGCACCUAUGGGACAUCCUGUUGGUGCCAAAGGUUAAUUCCGGUGGCGGAUGGGCAUGCGUCGCAUUAGUUAGUUGGCGGUGUAACGGACCACCAAGACGACGAUGCGUAGGGGUUCUGAGAGGAAGGUCCCCCACACUGGUACUGAGACACGGACCAGACUCCUACGGGAGGCAGCAGUGAGGAAUAUUGGUCAAUGGGCGGGAGCCUGAACCAGCCAAGUCGCGUGAGGGAUGACGGCCCUAUGGGUUGUAAACCUCUUUUGCCGGGGAGCAAAGUGCCGCACGUGUGCGGUUUGGAGAGUACCCGGAGAAAAAGCAUCGGCUAACUCCGUGCCAGCAGCCGCGGUAAUACGGAGGAUGCGAGCGUUAUCCGGAUUUAUUGGGUUUAAAGGGUGCGUAGGCGGACGCUUAAGUCAGCGGUAAAAUUGCGGGGCUCAACCUCGUCGAGCCGUUGAAACUGGGUGCCUUGAGUGGGCGAGAAGUACGCGGAAUGCGUGGUGUAGCGGUGAAAUGCAUAGAUAUCACGCAGAACUCCGAUUGCGAAGGCAGCGUACCGGCGCCCAACUGACGCUGAAGCACGAAGGCGUGGGUAUCGAACAGGAUUAGAUACCCUGGUAGUCCACGCAGUAAACGAUGAAUGCUAGUUGUCCGGGGCGAUUGAGUUCUGGGUGACACAGCGAAAGCGUUAAGC
rnacentral:rRNA from 1 species